CUUAGUACGGCGAGUGAGCGGCAAAGCUCAAUUUGAAAUCUGGCGUCUCUCGACGUCCGAGUUGUAAUUUGAAGAAGGCGACUUUGUAGCUGGUCCUUGUCUAUGUUCCUUGGAACAGGACGUCAUAGAGGGUGAGAAUCCCGUGUGGCGAGGAUCCCAGUUAUUUGUAAAGUGCUUUCGACGAGUCGAGUUGUUUGGGAAUGCAGCUCUAAGUGGGUGGUAAAUUCCAUCUAAAGCUAAAUAUUGGCGAGAGACCGAUAGCGAACAAGUACAGUGAUGGAAAGAUGAAAAGAACUUUGAAAAGAGAGUGAAAAAGUACGUGAAAUUGUUGAAAGGGAAGGGCAUUUGAUCAGACAUGGCGUUUGCUUCGGCUUUCGCUGGGCCAGCAUCAGUUUUAGCGGUUGGAUAAAUCCUCGG
rnacentral:rRNA from 1 species